GGCCUGUAGCUCAGGUGGUUAGAGCGCACCCCUGAUAAGGGUGAGGUCGGCAGUUCAAGUCUGCCCAGGCCUACCAAUUUUUCCUAAGCCUGCGUUGAACGAAGUCGUCGUUUAGUUUUACUAAACUUCCUCCUUGUUCGCCUUGUCUUAGAAAAAAUCUUAUUAGUGUUAA
rnacentral:tRNA from 1 species